GAAGGGCUUCCAGCGUAGGGCGUAGGGGGAGAGGCCCGAAGCCCUGGAGACAGCGCCCGAGGGAUGGAGGCCGCGCUCGGCUGCGCUCAGGUCCGGGUGGCUCCGGGAGCUGAGACCCCGCAGGAUGCAGCGGGGGGGGGCCAGGGCCUGAUCCCCUACCCCUGCGAGCCAGGGCCGCCUACGCCCCCACUGCUUCCCACAGAAGUUUCAGGAUUUCCUCUAAUAAACAUAAGGCUACUAGACGCAACAAUAGAAUUACCAUAUUGUUUUUCCUGGUUUGAAAGGACCAGAUGGAAAGAAACUGGGCAAGCCAAUGAAAGUCUCUGGGGAUCAUGGGAAUUGAGUGUCUAUGAAAACCAUAUUCCAGACAAGAAUAUAGUCUAAGGGUCUUGCUUUGUCAUCCAGGCUGGAAUGCUGUGGCACAAACAUGACUCACUGCAGACUCAUCAACCUCCCCAGCUCAAGUGAUCCUCCCACCUCAGCCCCACAAGUAGCUGGGACUACAUGCACAUGCCAUCAUGCCCAUCUAGUCUUUGUAUUUUUUGUAGAGACAGGGUUUUGUCAUGUUGUCCAGGCUGAUCUUGAACUCCUGAGCUCAAGUGGUCCAUAUACCUUGGCUUCCCAAAGUGCUGGGAUUAUAGGCCAUUGCUCCCGGCCUCAUGAUAAAACUUUAAGUAAUUGCUUCUUAUGGAUGAGCAAAGAAAUUGGAAUCUUGAUGCAGAAUGUACUUCUGGUGAAGAUGCCAUGAAUGUUGUUGAAAUGACAACAGAAGGUCUAGAAUAGUCCAUAAACUUAGCUGAGAAAGCAGCAGCAGGAGUUGAGAGGAUUGACUUCAGUUUUGAAAGAAGUUUUACUGUGGAUAAAAUGCUAUCAAAUAACCUCACAUGCUUCAGAUAAAUCUUUUGUGAAAGAAAGAUUCAAUAGAUGCAUAAACUUCAUUUUUUUUAAUUUUAAGAAAUUGCUUUAGCCACCCCAACCUUCAGCAAUCACUACCCUGAUCAAUCAGCAGCCAUCAACAUCAAGGCUAAACCCUCCAUUGGCAAAAAGAUUAUGAUCGCUGAAGGCUCAGAUGAUUAUUAGAGUUUUUAAUUUAAUUUUUUAUUAGCAAUAAAAUAUUUUUAAAUUUAAGGAAUGUACAUUUUUUUAAAGACAUAGUGCUAUUUCAUACUUAGUACUCUACAGUAAUGUAAACACAACUUUUCAAUGUACUGGAAAACAAAACAAACAAAGUCUCAUUUUAUUGUGAUAUUUGCUU
ensembl:lncRNA WDFY3-AS2 WDFY3 antisense RNA 2